GAUGAACGCUGGCGGCGUGCCUAAUACAUGCAAGUCGAGCGAACGGACGAGAAGCUUGCUUCUCUGAUGUUAGCGGCGGACGGGUGAGUAACACGUGGAUAACCUACCUAUAAGACUGGGAUAACUUCGGGAAACCGGAGCUAAUACCGGAUGAUAUUUUGAACCGCAUGGUUCAAAAGUGAAAGACGGUCUUGCUGUCACUUAUAGAUGGAUCCGCGCUGCAUUAGCUAGUUGGUAAGGUAACGGCUUACCAAGGCAACGAUGCAUAGCCGACCUGAGAGGGUGAUCGGCCACACUGGAACUGAGACACGGUCCAGACUCCUACGGGAGGCAGCAGUAGGGAAUCUUCCGCAAUGGGCGAAAGCCUGACGGAGCAACGCCGCGUGAGUGAUGAAGGUCUUCGGAUCGUAAAACUCUGUUAUUAGGGAAGAACAUAUGUGUAAGUAACCGUGCACAUCUUGACGGUACCUAAUCAGAAAGCCACGGCUAACUACGUG
rnacentral:rRNA from 1 species